rnacentral:misc_RNA from 1 species
UAACAGUAGAAUGUACGGAAUGGCUACAGUGAGGGUGUUAAAACAAAUCUUCCUCGCAUGACUUAUAUUUUUGUACUAAUCAGUUUAUAUGAAAAGUGACUCAUGUUCAAUAUGUUGCUAAGUUGAUAAGAAGAUUGCGAAGUUUUGAACUUUAACUUUUGCUGCUUUAGUCCACCGAGGAGUAUUUUACUUUUAAUCACUUAUAAUCAAAU